GAGUUUGAUCAUGGCUCAGGAUGAACGCUAGCGGGAGGCUUAACACAUGCAAGUCGAGGGGUAAAUGGCAGCAAUGCUAUGAGACCGGCGGACGGGUGCGUAACGCGUAUGCAACAUACCUUGUGCAGGGGGAUAGCCCGUGGAAACGCGGAUUAAUAUUCCAUAGUCCAGCUAUAUCGCAUGGUAUAGUUGGUAAAGAUUUAUCGGCACAAGUUUGGCAUGCGUCUGAUUAGCUUGUUGGUAGGGUAACGGCCUACCAAGGCUACGAUCAGUAGGGGUUCUGAGAGGAUUAACCCCCACACUGGUACUGAGACACGGACCAGACUCCUACGGGAGGCAGCAGUGAGGAAUAUUGGUCAAUGGGCGGAAGCCUGAACCAGCCAUCCCGCGUGAAGGAAGACAGCCUUACGGGUUGUAAACUUCUUUUCUGUCAGAAGAAUAAGCUUGUCGAGACGAGUGAUGCCGGUAUGACAGGAAUAAGCAUCGGCUAACUCCGUGCCAGCAGCCGCGGUAAUACGGAGGAUGCAAGCGUUAUCCGGGUUUAUUGGGUUUAAAGGGUGCGCAGGUUGUUUGAUAAGUCAGUGGUGAAAGUCUGUCGCUUAACGGUAGGAUUGCCAUUGAUACUGUUGGACUUGAAUAUGGAUGAGGUAGGCGGAAUGUGUAGUGUAGCGGUGAAAUGCAUAGAUAUUACACAGAACACCGAUUGCGAAGGCAGCUUACUAAUCCAUCAUUGACGCUGAGGCACGAAAGCGUGGGGAUCAAACAGGAUUAGAUACCCUGGUAGUCCACGCCGUAAACGA
rnacentral:rRNA from 1 species